rnacentral:tRNA from 1 species
GAAUAUGAAGCGAUUUAUUGCAAUUAGUUUCGACCUAAUUUUAGGUAACUUACCCUU